GAACUUAAGCAUAUCAAUAAGCGGAGGAAAAGAAACCAACAGGGAUUGCCUCAGUAACGGCGAGUGAAGCGGCAACAGCUCAAAUUUGAAAUCUGGCCUCACGGUCCGAGUUGUAAUUUGUAGAGGAUGUUUCGAGUGUGGUCCGGUCUAAGUUCCUUGGAACAGGACGUCAUAGAGGGUGAGAAUCCCGUAUGCGACUGGGUGCCUAAUCUCAUGUGAAACUCCUUCGACGAGUCGAGUUGUUUGGGGAUGCAGCUCAAAAUGGGUGGUAAAUUUCAUCUAAAGCUAAAUACUGGCCAGAGACCGAUAGCGCACAAGUAGAGUGAUCGAAAGAUGAAAAGCACUUUGGAAAGAGAGUUAAACAGUACGUGAAAUUGUUGAAAGGGAAGCGCUUGCAACCAGACUUGCACGCAGUCGAUCAUCCGAUGUUUUCACCGGUGCACUCGAUUGUGUUCAGGCCAGCAUCGGUUUUGGUGGUGGGAUAAAGGCCUUGGGAAUGUAGCUUCUUUCGGGGAGUGUUAUAGCCCUCGGUGCAAUGCCGCCUACUGGGACCGAGGACCGCGCUUCGGCUAGGAUGCUGGCGUAAUGGUUGUAAGCGACCCGUCUUGAAACACGGACCAAGGAGUCUAACAUCUAUGCGAGUGUUUGGGUGUCAAACCCAUACGCGUAAUGAAAGUGAACGGAGGUGAGAACCCUUAAGGGUGCAUCAUCGACCGAUCCUGAUGUCUUCGGAUGGAUUUGAGUAAGAGCAUAGCUGUUGGGACCCGAAA
rnacentral:rRNA from 1 species